rnacentral:rRNA from 1 species
UAAACGCUGUGGACUUGAUGUUGGGGGCGCUCCGAGCGCACUCAGUGUCGAAGCGAAGGUGAUAAGUCCACUGCCUGGGGAGUACGGUCGCAAGGCUGAAACUUAAAGGAAUUGGCGGGGGGGCACUGCAACCUGAGGAUUGUGCGGUUUAAUUGGAUUCAACGCCGGAAAACUCACCGGGGGCGACGGUUACAUGAAGGCCAAGCUGAUGACUUUGCCUGAUUUUCCGAGAGGUGGUGCAUGGCCGCCGUCAGUUCGUACCGUAAGGCGUUCUGUUAAGUCAGAUAACGAACGAGACCCUCAUCCCUAUUUGCUAACCCGAUCUCCGGAUCAGGCGCACUAUAGGGAGACCGCUGGCGCGAAGUCAGAGGAAGGCGAGGGCAACGGUAGGUCAGUAUGCUCCGAAUGCUAUGGGCUACACGCGCAAUACAAAGGACGGGACAAUGGGCUGCUGCUCCGAAAGGAACGAUGGCUAUCCCGAAACCCGUUCGUAGUUCGGAUUGAGGGCUGUAACUCGCCCUCAUGAAGCUGGAUUAGGUAGUAAUCGCGUCUCAAAAAGGCGCGGUGAAUAUGCCCCUGCUCCUUGCACACACCGCCCGUCAAACCAUCUUAGUUGUGGGUGGGUGAGGCUGCCUCUCUUUCGAGAUGUGGUAUUCGAGCCUGCCUUCGACAAGGAGGGUUAAGUCGUAACAAGGUAUCUGUA